UACGGGGGGGGCAAGCGUUGUUCGGAAUUACUGGGCGUAAAGGGCGCGUAGGCGGUUCGCUAAGUUGAACGUGAAAACUCUGGGCUUAACCCAGAGCCUGCAUUCAAUACUGGCGGGCUAGAGUUCUGGAGGGGAUAGCGGAAUUCCUGGUGUAGCGGUGAAAUGCGUAGAUAUCAGGAGGAACACCGGUGGCGAAGGCGGCUAUCUGGACAGAGUCUGACGCUGAGGCGCGAAAGCUAGGGGAGCAAAC
rnacentral:rRNA from 1 species